rnacentral:rRNA from 1 species
GACGAACGCUGGCGGCGUGCUUAACACAUGCAAGUCGAACGGACAGGCCCUGCUUUUGUGGCGUGCUCGAUUGGCGAACGGGUGAGUAACACGUGAGUAACCUGCCCUUGACUUUGGGAUAACUUCAGGAAACUGGGGCUAAUACAGGAUAGGAGAUCCUGCUGCAUGGUGGUGGUUGGAAAGUUUCGGCCGUUGGGGAUGGAAUAGCGGCUUAUCAGCUUGUUGGUGGGGUUGUGGCUUACAAAGGGUUUGAAGGCUAGCCGGCCUGAGAGGGGGACCGGCCACAUGGGUACUGAGAGACGCCGCAGACGCCUACGGGAGGCAGCAGGGGGGAAUAUUGCACAAUGGGCGGAAGCCUGAGGCAGCAACGCCGCGUGCGGGAUGACGGCCUACGGGUGGUAAACCGCUUUCGCCUGUGACGAAGCGGGAGUGACGGUAAUGGGUAAAGAAGCACCGGCUAACUACGUG